rnacentral:rRNA from 1 species
AAGUGCUGCAGGGUACAUGCAAGUCCAGCGGGGGAAGGUAGCUUGCUACCGGACCUAGCGGCGGACGGGUGAGUAAUGCUUAGGAAUCUGCCUAUUACUGGGGGACAACAUCUCGAAAGGGAUGCUAAUACCGCAUACGUCCUACGGGAGAAAGCAGGGGAUCUUCGGACCUUGCGCUAAUAGAUGAGCCUAAAUCGGAUUACCUACUUGGUGGGGUAAAGGCCUACCAAGGCGACCAUCUGUAGCGGGUCUGACAGGAUGAUCCGCCACACUGGGACUGACACACGGCCCAGACUCCUACGGGAGGCAUCAUUGGGGAAUAUUGGACAAUGGGGGGAACCCUGAUCCAGCCAUGCCGCGUGUGUGAAGAAGGCCUUAUGGUUGUAAAGCACUUUAAGCGAGGAGGAGGCUACUCUAAUUAAUACCUACGGAUAGUGGACGUUACUCCCAUAAUAAUCACCGGCUAACUCUGUGCCACCAGCCGCGGUAAUACAGAGGGUGCGAGCGUUAAUCGGAUUUACUGGGCGUAAAGCGUGCGUAGGCGGCUUAUUAAGUCUGAUGUGAAAUCCCCGAGCUUAACUUGGGAAUUGCAUUCGAUACUGGUGAGCUAAAGUAUGGGAGAGGAUGGUAGAAUUCCAGUGUAGCGGUGAUGUGCGUAGAGAUCUGGAGGAAUACCGAUGGCGAACGCAGCCAUCUGGCCUAAUACUGACGCUGAUGUACGAAAGCAUGGGGAGCAAACAUGAUUAGAUACCCUGGUAGUCCAUGCUGUAAACGAUGUCUACUAACCGUUGGGGCCUUUGAGGCUUUAGUGGCGCAGCUAUCGCGAUGAGUAAACCGCCUGGAGAGUACGGUCGCGAGACUAAGCUCAAAUGAAUUGACUGGGAGCCCGCACAAGCGGGCGCAGCAUGUGGUUUAAUUCGAUGCAUCGCAACAACCUUACCUGGCCAUGACAUACUAGUAACUUUUCAGAGAUGGAUGGUGCCUUCGGGAUCUACAUACAGUGCUGCAUGGCUGUCGUCACUCUGUCGUGAAAUGUUGGUAGUUCCUCACUAGCUCACCAUUUCGUACUGCAGCAUUCUGAUGGCACUUAAUGAUACUGCAUGACAAACUCGAGAGCGGACGACGUGCAGUCAUCAUGG